GAUUUCUGGUUUAAUGCACCUGGCCCGCGGCCAUAGAUCUUUUACUUUGAAAAAAUUAGAGUGUUUAAAGCAGGCUUUUGCUAUGAAUACAUUAGCAUGGAAUAAUAAUCUAGGACUUCGGUUCUAUUUUGUUGGUUUCUAUAACUGAAGUAAUGAUUGAUAGGGAUAGUUGGGGGUGCUAGUAUUGGCCGGCCAGAGGUGAAAUUCUUGGAUUCGGUCAAGACUAACUUAUGCGAAAGCAUUCACCAAGGA
rnacentral:rRNA from 1 species